rnacentral:rRNA from 1 species
UACGGGGGGUGCGAGCGUUGUCCGGAAUCACUGGGCGUAAAGGGCGCGUAGGUGGUCUGAUAAGGGUGUGGUGAAAGCCCGGGGCUCAACCCCGGGUCGGCCGUGCCGACUGUUGGACUAGAGUGCUGUAGGGGCAGGCGGAAUUCCGGGUGUAGCGGUGGAAUGCGUAGAGAUCCGGAGGAAGACCGGUGGCGAAGGCGGCCUGCUGGGCAGUUACUGACACUGAGGCGCGACAGCGUGGGGAGCAAAC